rnacentral:rRNA from 1 species
AUUGAACGCUGGCGGCAGGCUUAACACAUGCAAGUCGAGCGGAGAUGAGGUGCUUGCACCUUAUCUUAGCGGCGGACGGGUGAGUAAUGCUUAGGAAUCUGCCUAUUAGUGGGGGACAACAUUCCGAAAGGAAUGCUAAUACCGCAUACGCCCUACGGGGGAAAGCAGGGGAUCUUCGGACCUUGCGCUAAUGGAUGAGCCUAAGUCGGAGUAGCUAGUUGGUGGGGUAAAGGCCUACCAAGGCGACGAUCUGUAGCGGGUCUGAGGGGAUGAUCCGCCACACUGGGACUGAGACACGGCCCAGACUCCUACGGGAGGCAGCAGUGGGGAAUAUUGGACAAUGGGCGGAAGCCUGAUCCAGCCAUGCCGCGUGUGUGAAGAAGGCCUUUUGGUUGUAAAGCACUUUAAGCGAGGAGGAGGCUACCUGGAUUAAUACUCUAGGAUAGUGGACGUUACUCGCAGAAUAAGCACCGGCUAACUCUAUGCCAGCAGCCGCAGUAACAC